GUUACGGCUUUGUUGGCAAAGCGUAAGGUGACUUAUAGUUGAUAAUGUCUAUGUCAUUUUGGUCUCUUGUGGGUAGGUGUCUCAUUGGCAAUCCUAUCACAUCUUCUUUUUUAUAUUGCAAGGGUUCUUAACGUGUAGAGAUUGUGGCACCCUCUAUUAAAGCGACAUUGAAUUUUACGAACCCAUUUCAAUCGAACGUGACUGAUUUGUUUAUUAAGCACAACCAAUCGAAUUCCCCAUUUCGGCAAGGGUCAUUGCCAAUCGGAAAUGAAAGUUGUUUUUAGUUCUGUAGAAUUGACAAAAUUGGAUACGCAAAAUAAAACAGACAUAGUAUUUAUAAAUGACAGUACCCAAACUGAAUAAAAAUGAAUAAAAUUUCCACACAAAUUUACCUAAUAUAAAUCUAACAAAGACGACCACCUAAAAAGUUUUUGUAGUUGAAAUAUAGUAUCUAGUUUAUAAUUUCUCAAUAAAGUAGAAAUUAUAAUAAAACCUAAAGACAC
rnacentral:lncRNA from 1 species